UACGGCCAUAUCACGUUGAAAUAACGGUUCCCAGGCGAUCACCGAAUUUAAGCAACGUCGAUUCUGGUCAGUACCUAGAUGAGUGACCGCUUGGAAUUAAUAGGUGCUGUAAG